rnacentral:rRNA from 1 species
AGUGAACGCUGGCGGUAGGCCUAACACAUGCAAGUCGAACGGCAGCACAGUAAGAGCUUGCUCUUACGGGUGGCGAGUGGCGGACGGGUGAGGAAUACAUCGGAAUCUACUUUUUCGUGGGGGAUAACGUAGGGAAACUUACGCUAAUACCGCAUACGACCUACGGGUGAAAGCAGGGGAUAUUCGGACCUUGCGCGAUUGAAUGAGCCGAUGUCGGAUUAGCUAGUUGGCGGGGUAAAGGCCCACCAAGGCGACGAUCCGUAGCUGGUCUGAGAGAAUGAUCGGCCACACUGGAACUGAGACACGGUCCAUGCUCCUACGGGAGGCAGCAGAGUGGAAUAUCGGGCAAUGGUCGCAAACCUGAUCCAGCCAUACCGCGUGGGUGAAGAAGGCCUUCGGGGUGUAAAGCCCGUCUGUUGGGAAAGAAAAGCAGCAGGUUAAUACCCCGCGGUUCUGACGGUACCCAAAGAAUAAGCACCGGCUAACUUCGUG